UGCCCAUUGGCUCAGUGGUAGAGCAGAUGCACCACAUGCAGAGGCUAUACUCCUCAAAGCAGUUGUCCCUGGUUCAGUUCCUGGCCAUGGGCCA